GCAGGUGCGCGAUCCAGGAGAGCGCUUGAAUGGCAUUCAAGAGGUCAGCGGUUCGAUCCCGCUUAUCUCCACCA
rnacentral:tRNA from 1 species